AGCAGUUCAUGGGAUAUCAAAGCUACUCCUACCUUUUUCUUUCUCAGAGAUGGGCAGCAACUGGACAAGCUUGUGGGGGCGAGCAAGCCAGAGCUGCAGAAGAAGAUAACUGCCAUUUUAGACUCGGUGGCUGAGAGUGACAAAUGAUUGUUGUGUUGGCUUCCGUAUUUGAGAGUGCAGCAAUUAGCAUUUUUAUCCAUUGUGUGCUUAGUACUUUGGUUAUUGAUUGUGAGCCAUUUGUCUGUAGAUUAUGCCUGGCAUGUAAAUAUGACCAAAUGAAAAUUUUGGAACCUCCACUGUGAAUAAGCAAUCCCAGUGUAUUCUUCUAGUAACAUUGCUCCCCAAAUGUGAAUCUU
rnacentral:misc_RNA from 1 species